rnacentral:rRNA from 1 species
CAGCCGCCGCGGGAAUACGUAGGGUGCAAGCGUUAUCCGGAAUUAUUGGGCGUAAAGAGCUCGUAGGCGGUUUGUCGCGUCUGCUGUGAAAACUGGAGGCUCAACCUCCAGCCUGCAGUGGGUACGGGCAGACUAGAGUGCGGUAGGGGAGAUUGGAAUUCCUGGUGUAGCGGUGGAAUGCGCAGAUAUCAGGAGGAACACCGAUGGCGAAGGCAGAUCUCUGGGCCGUAACUGACGCUGAGGAGCGAAAGCAUGGGGAGCGAACAGGAUUAGAUACCCGCGUAGUCCCUGUCUCUUAUAC